GCUCACAUCAGCAGGCAUGUAAUAAAAUUGGGACAAUACAAAGAAGAUUAGCAUGGCCCCAGUAUAAGGAUGACAAGCAAAUUUGUAAAGUGUUCCAUAGUUUU